AUGGCCAACAAAAAUAUUUCAACUUUGGAGGAAGAUGUCAUCGCACUGCACAAGGUCAAUGAAACUUUCUUCAAUGUUUGCUUCAGCUCACCACCCAGUAUGGAAUUUGGUGGAAACUGGGAUGAUGUCUUUAAAUCUCCGGUGCUGCUAGUUCGUGCCAGUCACUUAGUGCCUCUUUUGGAGCUCCAGAUUGUUGUUAUUUUUGUCAUCACCCAAACUGGCAUACUGCUUGGACCUUCAAUCAAAGACAAGUCUGGCAAAGAAUCCUUGUUUCCAUUCCUCAGUCAAGAUGCGAUUGGCACGGCAUCGGUGUUUGGUUAUGCUUUUUUCAUGUUUCUAACAGGGGUGAAAAUGGAUGCAGGCAUGAUAAAGAAAACAGGACACAAAGCUUUAACAAUUGGUAUUUUGUCACUUGUAGUGCCCAUAAUAUGUGGCUUGUUAACCGCCUUUGCUUGUGCAUAUGUCUUCAAGGAAGAAGAAGAUGACAAGGUUUAUUUUGUGGCAGCGACGCAUUCUCUGACUUCAUUUGCAGUUGUUUCUAGCCUUCUUCAGGACCUCAAACUCCUAAAUUCUGAACUAGGCCGGUUGGGACUAUCUUCCGGCCUGGUCAGUGACAUGAUCAAUGUGAUUGCAACAAGUACUGCUAGCUUUAUCAGAGUUUUCAUGGGAACCGGACAACCAAUAUACAAAAUUUACAGGGACAUUGGCUCACUCAUUGCCUAUAUUCUUGCGGUAGUGUUCAUCAUUCGUCCUGCCCUGUUUUGGAUUGUGAAACACACACCAGCAGGCAGGCCUGUUAAGGAUGUGUACAUAUAUGCCAUCUUUCUAAUGGUUCUGUUGUCUGGCAUUCUUUCUGAUAUGUUUGACCAAACUGUGCUUUUAGGUCCUUUCAUUUUGGGUUUGGCAGUUCCAGAUGGACCACCAUUAGGCGCUGCUAUAGUGAAAAAGUUUGAUUGUUUUUUCUCUGGAGUUUUCACGCCACUAUUUGUGACUAUAUGCGCAAUGAAGGCUGACCUUUCGUCCAUCGGAGAUGAUCGUAAAUUGUUAACGCUGGACAUUGUCCUUCUGGUGGUAACUUUUUUGUCCAAAGUAAUGGCCAGUUUUGUACCAUCUUUGAUUUGCAAGAUGCCCUUCAAUGAUUCUCUUGCAAUUGGUUUCGUAAUGAGCUCCAAGGGCGUAGUUGAGUUGGCAUCAUACUCCUUAUUCCAUGACUAUAAGACUAUUGAUGAUCAAACUUUCGCGGUGCUGCUCGUUAGUGUUCUGAUUAUAGCAAUACUGGUGCCUAGCAUGGUUAACUACUUGUAUGAUCCUUCGAGGAAAUAUGCAGGCUACCAGAAAAGGAACAUCAUCGAUAUGAAACCGAAUGCUGAGCUCCGAAUACUUGCAUGUAUUCACUCACAAUACGAUGUUGCUCCUGUCAUCAACCUUCUUGAUGUUUCAUGUCCAACUGGAGGGAGUCCAAUUUCUGUCAAUGCCCUUCACCUUAUUGAGCUUGUUGGCAGAGCCUCCCCUGUUUUCAUUGCCCACCACAUUCAUGAAAAGGUUACAUUUAACGUUCACUUUAGCGAAAAAGUCAUCGGCCCCUUCAACCAGUAUCAACUCAACAAUCAAGGCGCUGUAUCAGCAAACAUAUUUACAGCAAUCUCACCAUCCAACAUAAUGGAUGAGGAUAUAUGCACACUCGCUCUUGACAAAUUUACAUCCAUUAUCUUACUCCCAUUUCAUUGAAAAUUCACUUUUGAUGGCAGCAUAGAGUCUGAUGACAAUACUAGGAGGGCACUAAAUAGUAGUGUCCUUGAAAGGGCCCCUUGCUCCAUUGGAAUUAUUGUCCAUCGUGGUCAUGUGAGACAUUCGUCAUCCUUGUAUAGCAUUGCCAUGAUCUUCUUAGGUGGUCGUGACGAUAGGGAGGCCUUGACAUUUGCAAAACGGGUGACCAAAGACCCCGGGAGCUUUAGCCUAACUGUGGUACGAUUAGAUGCUGAGGAUGGUAAAACUAUGAAUGAUUGGGAAAAAGUUCUCGAUAAUGAGGUGUUGAAGGAAUUUAAGCAGAAAAGUGUGGCAAAUGCGCAUGUUAAAUACAUCGAAGAGACGGCGAAAGAUGCAAUUCAAACAACGCGAAUCCUUCGGUCUAUAAUGAAUGAGUUUGAGCUUAUCAUAGUUGGGAGGAGGAAUGGCUUGGAUUCCCCUCAGACAUUAGGUUUCUCAGAGUGGAGUGAGUUCCCUGAAUUGGGGGUCAUCGGGGACCUGCUUGUUUCAUCAGAUUUCGACAGCAAUGCUUCGAUUUUCGUGGUGCAGCAACAACAACAAUUGAAGGGAACCAAUGGUUUCGAGCUAUGAUG